rnacentral:rRNA from 1 species
UACAGAGGGUGCGAGCGUUAAUCGGAUUUACUGGGCGUAAAGCGUGAGUAGGUGGCUCGCUAAGUCGAUUGUGAAAGCCCUGGGCUCAACCUGGGAAUUGCAGUCGAUACUGGUGAGCUAGAGUUCGGUAGAGGGUGACGGAAUUCCCGGUGUAGCGGUGAAAUGCGUAGAUAUCGGGAGGAACAUCGAUGGCGAAGGCAAUCACCUGGGCCUGAACUGACACUGAGACACGAAAGCGUGGGGAGCGAACAGG